CCUACGGGAGGCAGCAGUAGGGAAUUUUCCGCAAUGGGCGAAAGCCUGACGGAGCAAUACCGCGUGAGGGAAGAAUGCCUACGGGUUGUAAACCUCUUUUUUCAGGGAGGAACAUAAUGACGUGUACCUGAAGAAUAAGCAUCGGCUAACUCCGUGCCAGCAGCCGCGGUAAGACGGAGGAUGCAAGUGUUAUCCGGAAUCACUGGGCGUAAAGCGUCUGUAGGUGGUUUAAUAAGUCAACUGUUAAAUCUUGAGGCUCAACCUCAAAAUCGCAGUCGAAACUAUUAGACUAGAGUAUAGUAGGGGUAAAGGGAAUUUCCAGUGGAGCGGUGAAAUGCGUAGAGAUUGGAAAGAACACCGAUGGCGAAAGCACUUUACUAGGCUAUUACUGACACUCAGAGACGAAAGCUAGGGUAGCAAAUGGGAUUAGAUACCCCAGUAGUCCUAGCUGUAAACUAUGGAUACUAGAUGUUGAACAGAUCGACCUGUGCAGUAUCAAAGCUAACGCGUUAAGUAUCCCGCCUGGGAAGUAUGCUCGCAAGGGUGAAACUUAAGGAAUUGACGGCUUGAGAGUUGCGAGCGACGACGAGGGAGAGG
rnacentral:rRNA from 1 species